UACGGAGGGUGCGAGCGUUGUCCGGAAUCAUUGGGCGUAAAGGGCGCGUAGGUGGCGGGACAAGCGUGCGGUGAAAGCCUGGGGCUCAACCCCGGGUCGGCCGUGCGAACUGUUUUGCUUGAGCACUGUAGAGGCAGGCGGAAUUCCGGGUGUAGCGGUGGAAUGCGCAGAUAUCAGGAGGAACACCGGUGGCGAAGGCGGGUCUCUGGGCCGUAACUGACGCUGAGGAGCGAAAGCAUGGGGAGCGAACAGG
rnacentral:rRNA from 1 species